UUUCUUUCACAGUCCACCAUCAGCCAUCCGAGAAGAGGAGAUUUGUUAGUUGUUAAAUACCCACUAAAUAUAGGAUACGGUUAUAGAUAACUAAUAUAGAUAACUAAGGAGCAUUUAACCCAAGAGUUUUUAAUUUUUAGAUGGAAAAUAGCAACAGCGGAGCGCAGCGGAGCAACCAGCAGGACCUAUAAGACUCUGGUAAACAAGAAAACAUUGAGGUUAUGCAAUGCAAACUUGAAGUUAGAAAAUAACCUCUAGAAUUCUAAUAAUUUUUACCGAACAUUUUGUUGCCUAUACACCGCCGCACGAGUUUGAGGGUAAGUUUGCGAGCGCAAAUCUUCUAAACCAGUUUACAUCGGUGUUGUCGCGUGCUGAUAUAAUCUGACGAGAAAAAUUUGCUGUUUUUCCAUUUCCUAUUUACUACUGCAGUCAUCGACUCAUCGUGGUUCCAGUCACGUAGUUUGAUAAAUAUCGUCUGAUACUUGACCGUCUGAACUUUUUGAUACUUGUCCCCAGUGACUUGUUGUUUUAACUAUUUCAGUCUAAGGACUCUCAGACAUAUAUGAAUGACGUUUCAGACAUAUCAAAACAUCUUUCCCAGAACAACAAGCCAUGCACGUGUAUUAAUGCGGACGUGAUGGCGACACAGUAAACUGGCGUAACUUUGAAUAUAGAUCUUAUAGAUCUUCUUGAUUGCAGUAAUUUUCAGCUUGUACUAUUCUAACACAAUGUAAAUUAAUGCUCGAUAAAAUAAAAACGGAAAAAUGUUCAGAUAGUUAUCCAUAUUGGUUGAGGGUGGUAACUUUAAGCCGUGUGGUCGACUCGUGCCCACGACUAAAACAGUAAAAAUAUAAAAAAUAAAAUUAAUAAAAAAGUAACAUAUUUUGCAAUGAAUAGUUGUGUCAGCUCUUUUUCAAAGUUACCCAGACUCCAUUCUGACGAUGACUUGAAAAAAAAAACUUAAAAUCUAUGGUAUUGCAUGUAUAUUUUUUUUAUUCUUACGAAUUGCUUCCACUCUUGUGAAACAUUUCAUUCGUUUAAUUUGUUUCAAUAUCAGUUGAACGUUUAGAUGUUCGGCCCUGUAGUUUAGUGGUAGAAUUGGUUGAGAUUUGGAGGCGGCGUUGCGAUGGAAAUAAAGAUUAUAAACAUUUGGGUUUCAGUAGGUAAUGGCAAUUGAAAUGUCCCAGCAGAAAAAUAUACUUGAUUGACAGCCGCCCCAAUUACAGUCCCUUGAUGAUAGGCUGGGGCUGCGCCCUUGAUGAUUUCGGGAACUUAUUGAUCGACGGUCGCAAACUUGAUUGCAGAUUUCUGCCUGGCAUUGCUGGUUACUCGCAGAUGGGAAACUAAAAUUCUGCCCUAAUGGCAGGUUCCACUUCUUCGCUCUGGCGGCGGGUAUCAUAUUAUUUAUUUUAAUGUAAAUUUCUUUAAUACUCUCUCGCUCGUCACACACACGCUCACCUCACCACACAGAAUCCCGAUCGACGGUCUUUAUGUCCUACAGCCGGUACUCAGCCUGCGUAAUUCCGAAGCUGAGUCUAAUAUGCCCUAUAUACCUUAGUUCCGGUCGUCUGUAAUAAAGAGCGUAGUGCAUGACUCCGUGAGGUGAAGUGCGACUUCUAUUUCAUAUUUCAUUUAAUAAAUAGUUAUAGUACUGCCACUGCUGAUUCAGUCUAUGCUAAUUGUCGAUGCUAAUUGGUCAAAUUUUUUUAUUCACUCGUUAAAAUUCUCCAGGAAAAAUUAUAUGUAUGAGAAAUAUUUUUACAUUUACACGCGCAUCUAAUAAUAAUUUUUUUUUUGCAAAUGUCUGUGCAUAUAAUAACCACAUAGGCCUACUGAUAAAAUGAAGUGUUGAAAUAAUACAAUUGUCGAUGUAGAA